AUUUUGAACAAUAAGUGACAACUUAAUAUUUAGAUUUCAAUCUUUGCAUUGAAUGUUUUUAAAAUUAUAAAUACUAAAACUAUUAAACAUCCCACUUUUUUAUUGUUAUCAUUGAUUUAAAAAAUUUGUUAUAAAAAAAUACAAACGAUCAAAAAUAAUAUGAAUAUAAAAUAUUUUUUAACAGAUGUCAAUAUUAAAAAUGCACUAUAUAUCUUUGUUAAUAUCCUUUAAACUUAAUUUUAUAACAUAUAAAAUAUAAAAAGUGUUUGUCUAGAUUAAUAAAAUUUAUUUAAGUAUUUGUACAAAUUUAAUUAUAUACGUAAUAGUUACUAAAUUUUUAAUUAUUCAAUAUAUCUUUAUUAUUUCAUAAUAUGUAAAAAAUAUAUAAUACUUAAAAAUAAUUUAUAUAAUAUUCAUCCCGCGCAAGACGCGGAUCUUAACCUAGUAUUAAUUAAUUCAGUGACUAAUAUGUUUUUCUCACUGUAAAUAGUCUUUUAUUUGAAAAAAAAAAAAUAUUUUUUAUAUGAUUGAUAAAUUAUUAGUUCAACAUAUGACAAAAAAUCAUCUACCAAAAUAUGCACUUUUUAAAAGUUUGAAUGAUAGUUAAGGAGAUAAAGUUGCAAGAUAGUUAAGAAGCCCCUAAGUCAAUGUCGUCCCACUAAUUUUGGAGUCCUAAAGAGAAAAUAAAAUAAAACAAGAUAUAAAACAUAUAAUUAACUUAACUAACAAAAUAAAUUUAAAACAUAUAUAAGAAUUAAUGUAUAUAUUUAAUUUAACUUGAAAAAAAUUUAUAACCCUAAUAUAUAUUUCUGGUUUAGAUAAUUUAGCUCAAUCAAAAUUUCAAGAGAUAAUUUGGGAAGGUCAUCUAUAAAAUACAACAUAUAAGCCAUUAUUAUUAGGGCAAUCAUAAUAGGAUAAGAAGUUAUUGUAGGCCAUCAAAUAGACGAGAUUUUGGAAAAAUGAUGCAAAGACAAUUAUAUACAAGUAUUUUAUAUAUGCAUAACCAGUUUUACUAAUUAAGUUAAUAAUGUGUGGCUUCAAAAAUGAAAAAAUAUAUAUAUAUAGAGGUAAAUUACUCCUACCCAUCUAUAUUUCUUCUUCUAUAAUAGAGCCUAGGUGUUUUCUUAAAAAUUUAAAAAUAAUUUAUUAAUUUUUAGAUUUAUUAUUUCUUACAAAAGUUAAAUUUUUAAUUUAAUUUAAUUUUAUUUAAAAAUUAAGAUAAAAUAAUUAUUUUUUAAUUUAUAUUUAAUUAUAUAUAUGUAUAUAUAUUUUUAAAAUUAUAUUCUUGGAAAUAUCCUUUAUCUAUUUAUUUUGGUUAAAAUAUAUUAAAUCAGAUUCUAUUAAAUUAAGAAUUUUUUUGUUAGGUAUAUAAUUUCAAAACGUAAAACUAAAUAAUAUUUCUAAAAUUUUUGAUAUUAAAAAGAAACUAAUGGUAACAGGAUUAGAAUAUUGCAAUUUAAAAAAAAAAGAAAACUGCAUAAAUUUUUGAAGAUUUGUUUAAGUAAUAAAAUUAUAAAAACAGAACUAAAUAAUAUUUCAAAAUUAUAAAUGUUAUUAUAUUUAUUUCUACUAUUAUAUUAAUGAUGAUUUAUGAAUUUUUACCAUAUUAUACUAAACUUAUCAAAAAUAUAAAACAAUAUUAAAUGUAAAUGUACAUGUUACAAUUAGCGUCAAACCAUGUCAUCAUUAUUAAUAUUUUAUAUCAUCAUUUUUUUUUCAAAAUCAAUAUGAUGAUGACACAUGGAAAAUCAUUUUCAAAUAAUGUCUAAAAAAUUAUUAUUUUUAUUUACAGAGGAAGAAGUAGCAUUCUUCUAUUUUUACUCUAUUUAAAAUUUGCUAUUUUAGAAGAAUAUGCUGGAACAUAUGUCACCUCCAUUAAAGAAAUCUUCUAUUUUAGAGGAAAAAUACAUUGGAUAUUAUAUCUUUUGUUGUUUAGAUAUUUGUUAUCAAAGUCUUCAAAAAUACUUUUUGAUUAAGAUUCUAUAGAUAUUUUUUGACAGGAUACAACACUUCAGAUAACGGAACAGAUUCAAACUGAAUAUUGCAAAGAUGUGGAGGAGAAAACUAAGGGGCAGGCAGUCACAACCAGUAGACAGGAAGAUAAGCUCUGAGGAUAUGAAGAAGACAGCGUGUGGAGAUUACACAGAGAGAUGUGAUGAUGUAGCAAUUGUUUCAAGAGAUGAAAGGACAGUAGUUAUAAAGGAGAAGAGUCUUGAACAUAACACUAGAAGAAGUGACAUUUUAAGUAAGCAGGGGAUAAAAAGAAGCUCGGUGGUGGACAUAAAGAAUGAUGAGAAGUAGCCAAACAAAUCUGUGCGUUUGAAGGAUUCUGAACUUGGGAGUUGGGAAUGCAAAUGAUCUCGUCUCUGCAUAUUUCCUGAUUAAGCAAAGGAUUUGUCAUGCGAAACAGAUUUUGGACCAAGACAUUUGGAUUUUCAAGAGAGCUUGUAUCUCAGAAGUGUUACAGAAGAAUUCAGCAGGGAAAGCAUUGUUGAGAAGCAUCGAGAAAACGAAUAGCAACUAGAAGUGAAAGAACAUUGAGAGAUCAAAGAAACAGAAGUCUAGACAUUAUCUGCACAUUCUGAAAGUUCAAGAGGACCUGUUGGGUAGGUGGGCUUAUAAACAGACAUGUUUCACGGCUUAUUGAUAAACCCAAAAAUACAAAUAUUUUCAUCUUAUUUUUCUUUAUUUUCAAGUAAUGCGUGCAUUGUUUAUGGUGGUUUUGCUGGCUUAGUAUUAUUAACAUGGCAAUGAACUUUAAGCAUAAAGUUUGUGUUCUGCAGAAAGUGAAUAUUGUAAGCAUAUAUAAACAUAUUAUGUAAAUUUCCCCCCACAAUUUAUAAGAAAAGAUACGUAAGAUA